AUGGGCCACUAGUUUGGGAAUCUGACGUGGAUGCGGCAUGUGAUCUCCUACAGCUUGUCACCUUUCAGAGCAGCGCCCCUUCCCUCAUGUCUUCUCUAAAGGAAUUCCCAACGUGCUGAGCCGCACUCGGGAGCCUUUCCUUUGCAUGGUGCGGCCGUUUGUAGUGUUUUUUCUUAUCUACAAUUCGGGAACUCAAGAGUGAGAGAUCCAAGAGGAAGAAUCCAGCUGCCUAUGAAAAUGACAAAUGAGCAAUGCAUCCUAAUGACAGUUCUGGAAGAGGAAUCUGCAUUAUCUCUUUUAAAGACACAAUAAACUUCCUGUGGUCUGCAAAAAAAAAAAAUAAAUAAAUACACACACAUAUAUACGUAUAGAUAUAAUAUUCGAAGAAGCUAUUCAAAGAAAAAUGCCCUCUUAAGCUUAUUUUUAGUUAUUUCCAUAGGCUAAUGGUUUUUAACUCCUUGUGAGAUUUAAGGACAAUGAGAGAUGACAAAAAAACUUUAGUGACAAUAUAUUUUAGCAAUCGCCUCCCAAAGUGCUGGGAUUACAGGCAUGAGCCACCGUGCCCAGUCUGGCUCUGGCUCUGUCAUUCUUAAAAUAUUUUCAAGCUAGGAGUCUGCCGGAUCGGUGACUGCGGAGGGCUAAGUGACCCCUGGCCACCGCCACCAUGGGCUGCGAGUUUGGGAAUCUGACGGCGGAUGCGGCAUGUGAUCUCAUAACAGCUUGUCACCUUUCAGAGCAGCGUGCCUUCCCACACGUCUUCUCUAAAGGAAUCCCCAACGUGCUGCGCCACACUCGGCCUUUGCGUGGUGAGGCCGUUUGUAGUGUUUUAUCUUAUCUACACAUGGGGGACUCAAGAGUUUGAGAGAUCCAGGAGGAAGAAUCCAGCUGCCUAUGAAAAUGACAAAUGAGCAUCACAUCCAAAUGGCGGUUCCUGUUUCUGAAAGACCUUUCCCUUGACAAGGAGUCUGCAUUGUCUCUUAAAGACACAAUAAACUUCCUAUGAUCCGCAAAAAAAA